GAAUAUCACGGCUUGUAGUCUCGAACGGGUCGUCGUCUGCGUAGGACUACUAUGGAGCGCAGGCAGCCCCAAGCACGCGCCUUCUAAUGGCGCUGCAGUAGGCGGCGACGCUUUGUACGUAUAACACUGAGCUGAGCCUGUCCGCACCAGGAGCGCCCAUGGGCACGAGUCCCGCUCUGCCAGAGUGCGCCAGCUCCCAAGCGAUUGUGCCUUCGUCAUGUCAGCCGGGGCGCCGGUGGCGUUUGACACCAGCGACGAUUGAUCAUGACCGGGUUGUGAGGACGUACCAUACCGGGUGGCGAAGACAUCCACGGCUGGCGCGACCGAUGACGACCAGCUGGAAGCUCGAAGCAACGAGAGAAGGACGGCAUCUCUAUGGAACUUUGCAAACCGUACAGGCGCUCGCCACGGCUUUUGCCCCUCAGGGGAUUGUUGCUUCGUUCCUCGCUCAUGACCACCUUAGACUCGUCAUAGCGGAUCUUCAAAAAGCAUCCAGCUAUCUUGCACACGUCGCUGACAUCGCUGCGGUACCGCUAGCCGCGGAUACCACGAUCGAUAACCUGACAUGCAAAGCGACCGUCACCCGCUGGAGCGAGGAGGGGCUAGGGGACCGACCGAACCCCUUCGGUACCGAUUUCGAAGUCGUCUCCAACGGCAUAUCAGCGGACCACACAAGGAAGCUGGCCUCACUUGUUAUCAAUCACUUAUAGAUUGUUGCUUCGUUCCUCGCUCAUGACCACCUUAGACUCGUCAUAGCGGAUCUUCAAAAAGCAUCCAGCUAUCUUGCACACGUCGCUGACAUCGCUGCGGUACCGCUAGCCGCGGAUACCACGAUUGAUAACCAGACAUGCGAAGUGACCGUGACCCGCUGGAGCGAGCAGGGAUUAGGGGACCGACCCAACCCUUUCGGUACCGACUUGGAAGUAGUCUCCAAUGGUAUAUCACCGGACCACACCAGAAAGCUGGCCUCACUCGUGAUAAAUCAUUUACAGCUUGCCGCAGUGUUGGUUGCUCAGGAUCAGGUACUGGUCCGCGUAACCAACAACAGUCAAGCGUCCGCAUAUUCAUCCCAAAAGCCGGAAUAUCCUUCUGAGCUGGCCGCAAGCAACACAGCGGUAAAAGCUGGAACAAUGCUCGUGACGAUCGUACGUCGAUCGGACGGCGGUACCGGCGAUCUUCCGUUUACAUACGGAACAAUAAUCCGGGCCCACUUCAAGGGGUUCAAUCCCUCGUUCGCCAAGAAGCUGCUAGGCGUCGUCCUGCAGGAGCUGGAAACUUAGUACUAGUAAUAAAUGUCAAGACACCACGGCGGUGUCGACAUAUUGA